rnacentral:rRNA from 1 species
UACGUAGGGGGCGAGCGUUGUCCGGAUUUAUUGGGCGUAAAGAGCUCGUAGGCGGCUUGGCAAGUCGGGUGUGAAACCUCCAGCUCAACCUGGAGACGCCACUCGAUACUGCCAUGGCUAGAGUCCCGGAGAGGAUGGUGGAACUCUCGGUGUAGAGGUGAAAUUCGUAGAUAUCGAGAAGAACACCGGUGGCGAAGGCGGCCAUCUGGACGGUGACUGACGCUGAGACGCGAAAGCGUGGGGAGCAAACAGG